UAGCGUUUGAUCCUGGUUCAGAAUCAAGCGCUGGCGGCGUGCCUAACACAUGCAAGUCGAACGCGAAAGGGGCUUCGGCCCUGAGUAGAGUGGCAAACGGGUGAGUAACACGUGGGUGACCUGCCUUCGAGUGGGGGAUAACGUCCCGAAAGGGACGCUAAUACCGCAUGACAUCCUGCCUUUGGACAGGCGGAGAUCAAAGCCGGGGAUCGCAAGACCUGGCGCUCGCAGAGGGGCCCGCGCCUGAUUAGCUAGUUGGUGGGGUAACGGCCUACCAAGGCGACGAUCAGUAUCCGGCCUGAGAGGGCGGACGGACACACUGGGACUGAGACACGGCCCACACUCCUACG
rnacentral:rRNA from 1 species